CACGUAGGGCGCAAGCGUUGUCCGGAAUUAUUGGGCGUAAAGAGCUCGUAGGCGGUCUGUUGCGUCUGCUGUGAAAACCCGGGGCUUAACCCCUGGCUUGCAGUGGAUACGGACAGACUAGAGGUAGGUAGGGGAGAAUGGAAUUCCCGGUGUAGCGGUGAAAUGCGCAGAUAUCAGGAAGAACACCCGUGGCGAAGGCGGCUCUCUGGGACGGUACUGACGCUGAGACGCGAAAGCGUGGGGAGCGAACAGG
rnacentral:rRNA from 1 species